UACGAAGGGGGCUAGCGUUGCUCGGAAUUACUGGGCGUAAAGGGCGCGUAGGCGGACAGUUUAGUCAGAGGUGAAAGCCCAGGGCUCAACCUUGGAAUUGCCUUUGAUACUGGCUGUCUUGAGUUCGGGAGAGGUGAGUGGAAUGCCGAGUGUAGAGGUGAAAUUCGUAGAUAUUCGGCGGAACACCAGUGGCGAAGGCGACUCACUGGCCCGAUACUGACGCUGAUGCACGAAAGCUAGGGGAGCAAACGGG
rnacentral:rRNA from 1 species